AUUCGAAUUACCGCACUUUAAUUUUCCAUUCACUGAAAUUCACGGAUAAAAACGAAAAAUUACAAAAACCGAGUUUAAAAUUUUAUGUCGUGAACCUGCACAAAUAUUUGUUCUGUAUAUAUAUCUGCGGUACGUACUUAACUAUAUUAUUAUAUAUGUUUAAUCAUUUGAAGUAUAUAAAAUAUAAAAUACAAUUACGAGUCAUCUUUGGGCUGAACUAAACAAAAUGGAGGACCGUCAAUAAACUAUAGCAGUGAUGAGGAAAUAGUAUUUGACG